GCCUGGGUGGCUCAGUCAGUUAAGCGUCUGAUUUCAGCACAGAUCAUUAUCUCAUGGUUUGUGGGUUCGAGCCUUGCCUCGGGCU
rfam:Felis catus breed Abyssinian Contig247299.1, whole genome shotgun sequence. [26-MAY-2016]